rnacentral:tRNA from 1 species
ACUUAAAUAGCUUAUCGAGAGCGUAAUAUUGAAGAUAUUAAGGAAAUAGUUUUUAUUUUUAGGUA